GAUGAACGCUGGCGGCGUGCUUAACACAUGCAAGUCGAACGAUGAAACCCAGCUUUUUGGGUGGUGUAGUUGCGAACGGGCGAGUAACUCGCGAGUAACCUGCCCUUAACUAUGGGUUAAGCAUGGUAAACUGGGUCUAGUACCUGAUAGGUGCUUCCUCCACAUGGUGGGUGUUGUAAUGAUUUAUCGGUUUUGGAUGGACUCGCGGGCUAUCCGCUUCUUAGUGAGGUAAUGGUUAGCCAAGGGGACGACGGGUAGCCGGUCUGAGAGGGUGACAGGCCACACUGGGACUGAGGGACGGCCGAGGCUGCUAAGCGACGGAGAAGUGGGGAAUCUUGACCAAUGGGCGCAGGCCUGAUGAAGCGGCGCUGCGUGUGGUAAGACGGUCUUAUGGUUGUAAAACAAUUUCAGAAGUGAAGAAGCGAGUCUGACGGUACCUGAAGCAGAAGGCCCGGGUAACUUCGUG
rnacentral:rRNA from 1 species